GGGAUAGCCAUUUGGCAGGACUCAUAAUCCUUUGGUCCACGGUUCAAGUCCGUGUGGGCCCACCA
rnacentral:tRNA from 1 species